GUCCUCAUGGCGUAUGGCAGCGCACUCCCUUCUGGUAAUGUAAUGUUGGCAUAACAAUCUGGGAGCGAUGGUGGUUCGAAUCCACCUGGGGACA